rnacentral:rRNA from 1 species
UACGUAGGGUGCAAGCGUUGUCCGGAAUUAUUGGGCGUAAAGAGCUCGUAGGCGGUCUGUCGCGUCUGCUGUGAAAACCUGGGGCUCAACCCCGGGCCUGCAGCCGAUACGGGCAAGCUAGAAUUCGGUAGGGGAGACUGGAAUUCCUGGUGUAGCGGUGAAAUGCGCAGAUAUCAGGAGGAACACCGGUGGCGAAGGCGGGUCUCUGGGCCGAUAUUGACGCUGAGGAGCGAAAGCGUGGGGAGCGAACAGG